rnacentral:rRNA from 1 species
GCAGGCUGCAACUCGCCUGUAUGAAGUCGGAAUUGCUAGUAAUCGCGGAUCAGCAUGCCGCGGUGAAUACGUUCCCGGGUCUUGUACACACCGCCCGUCACACCAUGGAAGUUGGGGGCGCCCGAAGUCGGCUAGGAAAUAGGCUGCCUAAGGUGAAAACCAAUGACUGGGGUGAAGUCGUAACAAGGUACC